rnacentral:rRNA from 1 species
CUAGCGGCAGGCUUAAUACAUGCAAGUCAAGGGGGUAGCAAUACAACCGGCGCACGGGUGAGUAACACGUACACAACAUACCAUAUACUGAGGUAUAGCUUCGGGAAACUGAAGGUAAUCCCUCAUAGUAUUGUGAAAGGGCAUCUUUUUACAAUUAAAGUUUCGACGGUAUAUGAUUGGUGUGCGUUUGAUUAGCUAGUUGGUAGGGUAACGGCCUACCAAGGCAACGAUCAAUAGCUGGCGUGAGAGCGCGACCAGCCACACUGGAACUGAGACACGGUCCAGACUCCUACGGGAGGCAGCAGUAGGGAAUAUUGGGACAAUGGGCGAAAGCCUGAUCCAGCCAUGCCGCGUGAUAGAUGAAGGCCCUCUGGGUUGUAAAUAUCUUUUAUCUGGGAAGAAACACUUCUAUUCUUAGAAGCUUGACGGUACCAGAGGAAUAAGCACCGGCUAACUCUGUG